rnacentral:tRNA from 1 species
GGGAGUGUAGCUCAGUUGGAAGAGCACUUGACUUUUAAUCAAGUUGUCGGGAGUUCGAGCCUCCUCACUCUCA